AAAUUAUAUGAAAAGUAAACAUAAUUUAAAAUGUUUGGUCAAAUCUUAUGUAGUUUGAGCAGACUGUUAAUACACCAGCCAGUUUGUACUAAGCCUAACAAAUUCUGCGAUUUUCCAUAUUCUAUUUUCCUGGUUGCAAGUUCUCUAAAAUAUUCUAUAAGCUGUGGAGUCUGAAGAUUUGACGAAAGCAGUAAAUGAGUGAUUCAAUCAUCUAAAAGAAAAUGGCCGGAAGACAUUUCACUGCUGCUUCUGGAACCUUCAAACCCAGAUCUCCGGCAUUAUUUUUACUCCUUGCUCUUCUCGCUCUCACUCUCCUCUUCUACAUCUUCUCCUCCAUCUCCACCUCUUCUAACUCCACCGGCAACCUCAUCUCCUCCCGGAACCCUAACUCCGGUAUCGAUUACUCCUUCGUUUCUUCACUCGAGAAAUUCCUCACCAAAUCUCCACGAUCCGCAACGGCCGGUGAAGAUACAGUUUCAGGAACGACGUCGGUGGAGGAUGCUAGAAAAUUAGAUGAUUCCAUUUGGAAGAAUGAGAAUCAAAGGCUUUAUGAUGAGCCGUUUUACCCUGCUUUUUCGCCGCUCAAGGUUUAUGUAUACGAAAUGCCGGCGAAAUUCACUUAUGAUUUGCUUUGGUUGUUUCAUAACACGUAUAAAGAGACUUCAAAUCUUACCUCUAAUGGUAGUCCUGUUCACCGCUUGAUCGAACAGCAUUCAAUUGAUUACUGGUUGUGGGCGGACUUGAUAGCGCCAGAAUCAGAGAGGUUACUGAAGAAUGUAGUGAGAGUAUACAAGCAGGAGGAAGCUGACCUUUUUUAUAUUCCGUUUUUCACUACCAUUAGCUUCUUUUUGAUGGAGAAACAGCAAUGCAAGGCUCUUUAUAGGGAAGCUCUGAAAUGGGUUAUGGAUCAACCAGCUUGGAAUAGAUCUGAGGGAAGAGAUCACAUACUUCCAGUUCAUCAUCCUUGGUCUUUCAAGUCUGUCCGCAAGUUUAUGAAGAAAGCUAUUUGGUUGCUCCCUGAUAUGGACUCAACAGGGAACUGGUACAAGCCUGGACAAGUUUAUCUCGAGAAAGACCUGAUACUUCCUUAUGUUGCCAAUCUCGAUCUAUGUGAUGCUAAAUGUUUGUCUUCAUCAAGGAGAACUACGCUGCUAUUUUUCCGGGGAAGACUUAAAAGAAAUGCUGGUGGUAAGAUACGUGCCAAACUUGUGGAAGAGCUCCGUGGUGCAGAUGGAGUAUCCAUUGAGGAAGGGACUGCUGGAGAAGGAGGAAAAGAAGCAGCACAGGUUGGCAUGCGCAAGAGUAUAUUUUGCCUAAAUCCAGCUGGUGACACCCCAUCGUCAGCCAGAUUGUUUGAUGCAAUUGUCAGUGGCUGCAUUCCUAUCAUAGUCAGCGACGAACUAGAGCUUCCUUUCGAGGGGAUUCUUGAUUAUCGGAAGGUAUUAGUUACCUAGACAUUCUUAUUCUCAAUGUCAAUCCGAGGUAAUGGCUUUCUUUUUGGAACAUAUUCUUUGAUCUAGGCUCUAUGGAAACUGCUAAUACAAAGUUAAGAUGAUUAAUCAUCAUAAUUGGAAGUGUCAGUCAAGAAAGCUGCAGUAUUUGUUCAAGGCCAGUUGUAAUGUUGAUGGUCUAAGAGGAAGUUACAUCUGCAGGAUUUAGUAAUUUAUGAUGGAUUAAGAGGAAGUUACAUCUGCAGGAUUUAGUAGUCUAUGAGGAAGUUGCAUUUAUCAAUUUAUAUUAGUUUACUGGGGAACAUCAAGUUUCAGUGAUUGCUCUGUUUGUCUCUUCUAGUGAUGCUUUGCAACCAGGGUGGCUUUUGUCAUUUCUAAAAAGUGUUAGUGGGGCUCAAAUUAAAGAGAUGCAAGCGAAUUUAGCUAAGUAUGCUAGGCAUUUUCUUUAUUCUCAUCCAGCUCAGCCGCUAGGUCCUGAAGACUUAGUCUGGAGAAUGAUGGCAGGAAAGCUGGUCAAUAUCAAGCUUCACACUCGAAGGUCACAACGCGUGGUGAAAGGAUCCAGAAGUCUGUGUACUUGUGAGUGCAGAAGUCCCAAUGCUACAAGCCCAGGUCCAUUGUCUUGAUUGUAGAUCGCAGAUGCUUCCCUUUUUUUGUCACUCAACAAAAAAUUGUCUUUUUUCCCCUUGUAUAAAUUUGCACUGCAACAUUUGAUAUGGUUCUAUUAGACUUGGGCAAUAUGUGAUUGUGUAAGUAAGAACCAAGUAAAUGUGAUCUUUUCUUCAAACUCCUGUCUAAUUUUGUCUGAAGAAUAUUUAAGUUAGCUUGGUGACAGAAACUUAAUAACACACAAUUUGUAUAUAUACCUGUUUGUAAUGUUGGCUUAGAUUUCUACUUGUGGAAAUGAUCAGCCUUGAGAUAUUGAGAUCGUUUUGAAUUUUGUGUCAA